UAUUACUAGAAAACAUUGGUAUCGAAGGAACUAGAUUCUGUUCCGAAAUAUCACUUACUCGAACCGUCCUGACCGCGUAGCUCAGUUGGAAGAGCAUUGGGCUAGUAUUCCAAAGGUCGUAGGUUCGAAUCCCACCGUGUCCGGGCAUAUUUUUCAAGCUCGCCCGGUGUGGAUAUACACUCAGAGUAACACCACAAAUAUCAUAUUCACCUGAGUACACUACACCAACACAGAAAAAAAAUUCAUAUUAAUAGAAUACAUUGGUAUCGAAGGAGCUAGAUUCUGUUCCGAAAUAUCACUUACUCGAACCGUCCUGACCGCGUGGCUCAGUUGGAGGAGCAUUGGGCUGGUAUUCCAAAGGUCGUAGGUUCGAAUCCCACCGUGGCCGGGCAUAUUUUUCAAGCUCGCCCGGUGUGGAUAUGCACUCGGAGUAACACCACAAAUAUCAUAUUCACCUGAGUACACUACACCAACACAGAAA
rnacentral:tRNA from 1 species